CUUGAUGAGGGCUACAACUUUGCUUAAUAUCUUUUUAACAAAUUAUGCGUAUUUAAGGAAAUACGUCUGCGCAUGCGCAGUAGCGUAACUCCUUACACUUGCAUAUUUUGUUAAGAAGAUAUUAAUAAGAUACUCAUAUUUUGUAGCGGACUCUCAAUAUUUUUUUCCCUUUAUAUAAUCUGGCUAUUUUUUACUCUUUUUAUAGUUCUAUGUGAGAAAUCGCUUUCCAAGUAGUAUAAAAUAUUGCUAUGUUGAACCUGGCCCGAAGAGAUCCAGCUAAUCAUUCUGUGUUGAUUUCAUAUUGAAUUCUUUCACCGCGUUCACCGCCAUUCACCGCAUAAUAGUCUCCUACACCGCAUGAGAUAAGCAGGUCACAACAAUUUACUAUUGUCUUUAAUUUCACAAAAAUUGCAGGUCGUCCCUGGUGGCUUAGUGGUAGUUCGUCUGGCCUGUCUCUAUUAACGUUUGGGUUCAAAUCCCGUUGAACUCAUAUUUUGUAGCGGACUCUCAAUAUUUUUUUCCCUUUAUUUAUUGUUGCUAUUUUUUAUACUUUUUAUACUUCUAUGUGAGAAAUCGCUUUGCAAGUAGUAUAAAAUAUUGCUAUUUUGAACUUGGCCCAAAGAGAUCCAGCUAAUAAUUCUGUGUUGAUUUCAUAUUGAAUUCUUUCACGGCGUUCACCGCCAUUCACCGCAUAAUAGUCUCCUACACCGCAUGAGAUAAGCAGGUCACAACAAUCUACUAUUGUCUUUAAUUUCACAAAAAUUUCAGAUCGUCCCUGGUGGCUUAGUGGUAGUUCGUCUGGCCUGUCUCUGUUAACGUUUGGGUUCAAAUCAGGUUGUACUCAUAUUUUGUAGCGGAAUUCACAAUAUUUUUUUUCCCUUUAUAUAAUCUGGCUAUUUUUUAUUCUUUUUAUAGUUCUAUGUGAGAAAUCGCUUUGCAAGUAGUAUAAAAUAUUGCUAUGUUGAACCUGGCCCGAAGAGAUCCAGCUAAUCAUUCUGUGUUGAUUUCCUAUUGAAUUCUUUCGUUUGAUAGUUAGUUUGAUAGUUUAUUUGACACUAAAACUUACAGCUCCAGAAUAUAACUAAUUCCACUGCUGAAAUAUGUUAGGUUUACAAGGAUAUUAAAACUAAUUUUACAUGUAUUUGUUUAAGAAAACGAAUAAGAUUAGACUAAAUACUUAAAAAUACACAUUCACAUAUAUAUACUGUAUGCGCAGACUUAUAAUUUGUUACUAAAACACUCACUAAUGCUAAUUUAGAUUAGGUUAAAAACCAGCAUAUUCGCGGUAAAAAAACAGUUUCUAAGUUAUUCAAAAAACUUAUUAGAGUUAUAAGUGAUAAAACUGUUCCUAAAUCUGUUCGUUUUAUGAAGUGGCACGUUAAAUUUCCUAUUUUUACACAAAAAAUGACUAUUGUCAUUAUUUAAUGGCGGUAACAAAUCCGUUAAUUUGUGCUCAGGAUUAUUGACUACGUCCUUAAAAAGUUUUGUUGUUAAUUCCUGUCUUCUAUCGUACAGUGAUGGGGUGUUCGUGUUCCUCAAUGCUUGUUUGUAGUGUUGAUCUGGGAAUAUUACUCGAAAAGCUCGUUUCUGAAGUCUUUCAAGAUCAUCAGACAGGUAUUUGGGUAAUGAGUCGUGAAAUGCUUGGCACGCAUACUCGAUGACUGGUCGAAUACAGGUGGAGUAGAAAAGGAUUAGGUCGUUAGCGCCAUUCACCGCAUAAUAGUCUCCUACACCGCAUGAGAUAAGCAGGUCACAACAAUCUACUAUUGUCUUUAAUUUCACAAAAAUUUCAGAUCGUCCCUGGUGGCUUAGUGGUAGUUCGUCUGGCCUGUCUCUAUUAACGUUUGGGUUCAAAUCACGUUGAACUCAUAUUUUGUAGCGCACUCUCAAUAUUUUUUUUCCUUUAUUUAUUCUUGCUAUUUCUUAUACUUUUUAUACUUCUAUGUGAGAAAUCGCUUUGCAAGUAGUAUAAAAUAUUGCUAUGUUGAACCUGGCCCGAAGAGAUCCAGCUAAUCAUUCUGUGUUGAUUUCAUAUUGAAUUCUUUCACCGCGUUCACCGCAUAAUAGUCUCCUACACCGUAUGAGAUAAGCAGGUCACAACAAUCUACUAUUGUCUUUAAUUUCACAAAAAUUUCAGAUCGUCCCUGGUGGCUUAGUGGUAGUUCGUUUGGCCUAUCUCGAUAAACGUUUGAGUUGAAAUCACGCUGAACUCAUAUUUUGUAGCAGACUCACAAACUUUUUUCCCUUUAAUCUUUAUAUAAUCUGGCUAUUUUUUACUCUUUUUAUAUUUCUAUGUGAGAAAUUGCUUUACAAGCAGAAAAAAAUAUUGCUAUGUUGAACCUGGCCUGAAGAGAUCCAGCUAAUCAUUCUGUGUUGAUUUCAUAUUGAAUUCUUUCACCGCGUUCAGCGCCAUUCACCCCAUAAUAGUCUCCUACACCGUAUGAGAUAAGCAGGUCACAACAAUCUACUAUUGUCUUUAAUUUCACAAAAAUUUCAGAUCGUCCCUGGUGGCUUAGUGGUAGGUCAUUUGGCCUGUCUCUAUUAACGUUUGGGUUCAAAUCCCGUUGAACUCAUAUUUUUUAGCGGACUCUCAAUAUUUUUUUCCCUUUAUUUAUUCUUGCUAUUUUUUAUACUUUUUGUACUUCUAUGUGAGAAAUCGCUUUGCAAGUAGUAUAAAAUAUUGCUAUUUUGAACUUGGGCCGAAGAGAUCCAGCUAAUCAUUCUGUGUUGAUUUCAUAUUGAAUUCUUUCACCGCGUUCACCACCAUUCACCGCAUAAUAGUCUCCUACACCGCAUGAGAUAAGCAGGUCACAACAGUCUACUAUUGUCUUUAAUUUCACAAAAAUUUCAGAUCGUCCCUGGUGGCUUAGUGGUAGUUCGUCUGGCCUGUCUCUGUUAACGUUUGGGUUCAAAUCAGGUUGUACUCAUAUUUUGUAGCGGAAUUCACAAUAUUUUUUUUCCCUUUAUAUAAUCUGGCUAUUUUUUAUUCUUUUUAUAGUUCUAUGUGAGAAAUCGCUUUGCAAGUAGUAUAAAAUAUUGCUAUGUUGAACCUGGCCCGAAGAGAUCCAGCUAAUCAUUCUGUGUUGAUUUCCUAUUGAAUUCUUUCGUUUGAUAGUUAGUUUGAUAGUUUAUUUGACACUAAAACUUACAGCUCCAGAAUAUAACUAAUUCCACUGCUGAAAUAUGUUAGGUUUACAAGGAUAUUAAAACUAAUUUUACAUGUAUUUGUUUAAGAAAACGAAUAAGAUUAGACUAAAUACUUAAAAAUACACAUUCACAUAUAUAUACUGUAUGCGCAGACUUAUAAUUUGUUACUAAAACACUCACUAAUGCUAAUUUAGAUUAGGUUAAAAACCAGCAUAUUCGCGGUAAAAAAACAGUUUCUAAGUUAUUCAAAAAACUUAUUAGAGUUAUAAGUGAUAAAACUGUUCCUAAAUCUGUUCGUUUUAUGAAGUGGCACGUUAAAUUUCCUAUUUUUACACAAAAAAUGACUAUUGUCAUUAUUUAAUGGCGGUAACAAAUCCGUUAAUUUGUGCUCAGGAUUAUUGACUACGUCCUUAAAAAGUUUUGUUGUUAAUUCCUGUCUUCUAUCGUACAGUGAUGGGGUGUUCGUGUUCCUCAAUGCUUGUUUGUAGUGUUGAUCUGGGAAUAUUACUCGAAAAGCUCGUUUCUGAAGUCUUUCAAGAUCAUCAGACAGGUAUUUGGGUAAUGAGUCGUGAAAUGCUUGGCACGCAUACUCGAUGACUGGUCGAAUACAGGUGGAGUAGAAAAGGAUUAGGUCGUUAGCGCCAUUCACCGCAUAAUAGUCUCCUACACCGCAUGAGAUAAGCAGGUCACAACAAUCUACUAUUGUCUUUAAUUUCACAAAAAUUUCAGAUCGUCCCUGGUGGCUUAGUGGUAGUUCGUCUGGCCUGUCUCUAUUAACGUUUGGGUUCAAAUCACGUUGAACUCAUAUUUUGUAGCGCACUCUCAAUAUUUUUUUUCCUUUAUUUAUUCUUGCUAUUUCUUAUACUUUUUAUACUUCUAUGUGAGAAAUCGCUUUGCAAGUAGUAUAAAAUAUUGCUAUGUUGAACCUGGCCCGAAGAGAUCCAGCUAAUCAUUCUGUGUUGAUUUCAUAUUGAAUUCUUUCACCGCGUUCACCGCAUAAUAGUCUCCUACACCGUAUGAGAUAAGCAGGUCACAACAAUCUACUAUUGUCUUUAAUUUCACAAAAAUUUCAGAUCGUCCCUGGUGGCUUAGUGGUAGUUCGUUUGGCCUAUCUCGAUAAACGUUUGAGUUGAAAUCACGCUGAACUCAUAUUUUGUAGCAGACUCACAAACUUUUUUCCCUUUAAUCUUUAUAUAAUCUGGCUAUUUUUUACUCUUUUUAUAUUUCUAUGUGAGAAAUUGCUUUACAAGCAGAAAAAAAUAUUGCUAUGUUGAACCUGGCCUGAAGAGAUCCAGCUAAUCAUUCUGUGUUGAUUUCAUAUUGAAUUCUUUCACCGCGUUCAGCGCCAUUCACCCCAUAAUAGUCUCCUACACCGUAUGAGAUAAGCAGGUCACAACAAUCUACUAUUGUCUUUAAUUUCACAAAAAUUUCAGAUCGUCCCUGGUGGCUUAGUGGUAGGUCAUUUGGCCUGUCUCUAUUAACGUUUGGGUUCAAAUCCCGUUGAACUCAUAUUUUUUAGCGGACUCUCAAUAUUUUUUUCCCUUUAUUUAUUCUUGCUAUUUUUUAUACUUUUUGUACUUCUAUGUGAGAAAUCGCUUUGCAAGUAGUAUAAAAUAUUGCUAUUUUGAACUUGGGCCGAAGAGAUCCAGCUAAUCAUUCUGUGUUGAUUUCAUAUUGAAUUCUUUCACCGCGUUCACCACCAUUCACCGCAUAAUAGUCUCCUACACCGCAUGAGAUAAGCAGGUCACAACAGUCUACUAUUGUCUUUAAUUUCACAAAAAUUUCAGAUCGUCCCUGGUGGCUUAGUGGUAGUUCGUAUGGCCUGUCUCUAUUAACGUUUGGGUUCAAAUUACGUUGAACUCAUAUUUUGUAGCGGACUCACAAUAUUUUUUUUCCCUUUAUAUAAUCUGGCUAUUUUUUACUCUUUUUAUAGUUCUAUGUGAGAAAUCGCUUUGCAAGUAGUAUAAAAUAAUGCUAUGUUGAACCUGGCCCGAAGAGAUCCAGCUAAUCAUUCUGUGUUGAUUUCAUAUUGAAUUCUUUCACCGCGUUCACCGCCAUUCACCGCAUAAUAGUCUCCUACACCGCAUGAGAUAAGCAGUUCACAACAAUUUACUAUUGUCUUUAAUUUCACAAAAAUUUCAGAUCGUCCCUGGUGGCUUAGUGGUAGUUCGUCUGGCCUGUCUCUAUUAACGUUUGGGUUCAAAUCACGUUGAACUCAUAUUUUGUAGCGGACUCACACUAUUUUUUUUCCCUUUAUAUAAUCUGGCUAUUUUUUACUCUUUUUAUAGUUCUAUGUGAGAAAUCGCUUUGCAAGUAGUAUAAAAUAUUGCUAUGUUGAACCUGGCCCGAAGAGAUCCAGCUAAUCAUUCUCUGUUGAUUUCAUAUUGAAUUCUU
rnacentral:lncRNA from 1 species